CUAUUCAAUUCAUUACUACUACAAAUAUCUGCGUAGAUAGGGGCCGUGACUAGUCUGUGUUGAAAAAUACUCUAUGACGCAAUAUUUUGAUGUGGAUUAAUUGUUAAAGUAGUUGCUCGUGACGAGUACUUCCUUCAAUGCUCCGACGAAUUUAUACGUGAGUUUGAAGCCCGUUGUGCGCGAAGAACAAAUUCUCACCAUCCUCCAAGAAGACUUGAUCGAGGCACGUGAAGAGGUGCGGGGAGUGUACGCCUUAUUGUGGGAGUUAUGAUCUGAAGCAGAAAAUGAAGGAAAUAAUGAUGUGAUAAAUAGUUGUGGCCCGAUUAAAGGGCAUCCCAUACCAUGCUGUCCAACAAAAGGGUAUCUGGACUACAAACGUUAAAUUGCACUAUUCAUAAUUACUAACUAUUUUAGUUAUAAAAUUGAAAACGUUGGACAAAUUUAAUAAAGAAAAAAUUUCAAUGUUCAUUCGAAAAUUAAAUAUUACAAACCCUGAAAAUUUAAAAUUAAAAAUCCUAAA